rnacentral:rRNA from 1 species
UUUCCUACGGGAGGCAGCAGUGGGGAAUAUUGCACAAUGGGGGAAACCCUGAUGCAGCGACGCCGCGUGAGCGAAGAAGUAUUUCGGUAUGUAAGGCUCUAUCAGCAGGGAAGAAAAUGACGGUACUUGACUAAGAAGCCCCGGCUAAAUACGUGCCAGCAGCCGCGGUACUACGUAUGGGGCAAGCGUUAUCCGGAUUUACUGGGUGUAAAGGGAGUGCAGGCGGCUUGGCAAGUCUGCUGUGAAAGGCUGGGGCUCAACCCCAGGACUGCAUUGGCAACUGUU